UCUCUCUCUCUCUCUCUCUCUCUCUCUCUCUCUCUCUCUGAUGUCAUGGUAUUCUGCGUGCGGACUUUUUAGUCGUGUCAAAGUCUCGCUACAAAUGCUUUGAAGCAUUUAAUGGACCAAUUAGAAGAAAGAAUUUUAUAGUGAUCAAUUAAAAAACGUUCAGCUUCAAAACGGUUGCAGCAUCGUGUUGACCGUACCUUUUGUAAGCCUCAGCGAUAGAUACGUUAGUAAAAUGGAUAAGAUUAAUCAUCUUUAUGUUCAUUGUGAUUUCUCGUCAAUCUUCCUUCGCUAUUAGCCGGCGCCCAGACACGCUCGGCGCCAGCGGCGAAUUGGACACAGCAGCCACAACGUAGCCAUUGUUUGUAGGGAACUACUUCUCAAUGCCUCACUAGCGCAGCGAGCGGAGGAAGCCUAAAGAUUUUGUAGAUUGUGAGUUGCCUACAAGCAGCGUUAUAAAAAAAAAGAGAGAUUAGACCACUCGUCCUGUACGGUCAUAUAGAUACAUGCUUCUGUAAUAAAUUCAUCGUUACUAAUUCCAA